rnacentral:rRNA from 1 species
AGUGAACGCUGGCGGUAGGCCUAACACAUGCAAGUCGAACGGCAGCACAGUAAGAGCUUGCUCUUACGGGUGGCGAGUGGCGGACGGGUGAGGAAUACUUCGGAAUCUACUUUUUCGUGGGGGUUAACGUAGGGAAACUUACGCUAAUACCGCAUACGACCUACGGGUGAAAGCGGGGGAACUUCGGACCUUGCGCGAUUGAAUGCGCCGAUGUCGGAUUAGCUAGUUGGCGGGUUAAAGGCCCACCAAGGCGACGAUCGGUAGCUGGUCUGAGAGGAUGAUCGGCCGCACUGGAACGGAGACACGGACCAUAGUCCUACGAGAGGGAGCAGUGUGGAAUGUUAGACAGUGGGGGCAAGCCUGGUCCAGCCGUAGCGCGUGGGUGGAAGAGGCCUUCGGGGUGUAAAGCCCGUUUGUUGGGAAAGAAAAGCAGCAGGUUAAUACCCAGCGGUUCUGACGGUACCCAAAGAAUAAGCACCGGCUAACUUCGUG